ACUUAUCUAGCUUAGUUGGUAAAAUACAAGACCCUUAACCUUAUGGUUGCGGGUUCAAGCCCCAUGGUGGGUG
rnacentral:tRNA from 7 species